rnacentral:rRNA from 1 species
AGUGAACGCUGGCGGUAGGCUUAACACAUGCAAGUCGAACGGCAGCCCCGUAAGUUCUUGCUCUGCCGGGUGGGGAGUGGGGGACGGGUGAGGUUUGCAACCCAACCUACAUUUUCGUGGUACUUCACGUAACGAGGCUUACUCUCAUACCGCAUACCCCCUCCGCUUGAGUGCAUGGGAACUUCUGGCCUUGCGGGCAUGUAUGCGCGGAUGUGGGAGUAGUUAGUUGGGUGGGUAAAGGCCCACCCAGGCGAGGAUCCGUGGCUGGUCUGAGAGGAGGAUAGGCCACACUGGAACUGAGACAAGGUCCAGGCGCCUAAGGGAGGCAGCAGUAGGGAAUAUUGGGCAAUGGGCGGAAGUCUGACCGAGCAAGGCCGCGUGAGUGAAGAAGGCCUUCGGGGUGUAAAGCCCUUUUGUUGGGAAAGAAAAGCUGUAGGUUAAGACGAAGCUGUAGUGACGGUACCGAAUGAAUAAGCACCGGCUAACUACGUG